ensembl:miRNA
UCUCAUGCUGUGACCCUCUAAAGGGACGUGCGUUCUGUUGUGUGAAAGGAAACACACGCCAUCCCUUUGGAGUGUUACCGCUUGAGA